CUGAGCCAUCUCUCCAGCCCAAAGUUAAAAAAUUUCUAGGGCUAGAGAGAUGGCUCAG
rnacentral:miRNA from 1 species